rnacentral:rRNA from 1 species
UGGGGAAUAUUGCACAAUGGGCGCAAGCCUGAUGCAGCCAUGCCGCGUGUAUGAAGAAGGCCUUCGGGUUGUAAAGUACUUUCAGAGGGGAGGAAGGCGAUGUGGUUAAUAACCGCGUCGAUUGACGUUACCCGCAGAAGAAGCACCGGCUAACUCCGUGCCAGCAGCCGCGGUAAUACGGAGGGUGCAAGCGUUAAUCGGAAUUACUGGGCGUAAAGCGCACGCAGGCGGUCUGUCAAGUCGGAUGUGAAAUCCCCGGGCUCAACCUGGGAACUGCAUUCGAAACUGGCAGGCUAGAGUCUUGUAGAGGGGGGUAGAAUUCCAGGUGUAGCGGUGAAAUGCGUAGAGAUCUGGAGGAAUACCGGUGGCGAAGGCGGCCCCCUGGACAAAGACUGACGCUCAGGUGCGAAAGCGUGGGGAGCAAACA